rnacentral:lncRNA from 1 species
GUGCACUGUCUGCAGAUCAGACUUCUUACUCACUUUACCUUCCGUCACUGCAGUCACAUUCAUGGAUUGCCCCUGGCCUGAUAGACUUUAACUAUCUGCAAAGGAGUGCUCUAAAUUUAAUUUGCAUGCAGGAAUGCUCUAUAUACAGAAGCAGAUCAAGAAUAAAAUGCAAAAGUAAUUCUGGGCUAUGUGGCCAAGGGAAUUGGUAAGACCUAAAUUUUACAACAAGGCUCCCUGGACUGACACAGCAAUGCUGGAUGCUACUCUGGUAUGAUGGGGUAAUGAAUCAGUUGCUGGAAGCCUUCAACAUGCGCUGAACAUCACCCUAGAAAUGAAACAAAGGGGAAAGUUUUG